AGAGUUUGAUUCUGGCUCAGAACGAACGCUGGCGGCGUGGAUAAGACAUGCAAGUCGAACGAGAGAAUUGCUAGCUUGCUAAUAAUUCUCUAGUGGCGCACGGGUGAGUAACACGUGAGUAACCUGCCCCCGAGAGCGGGAUAGCCCUGGGAAACUGGGAUUAAUACCGCAUAGUAUCGAAAGAUUAAAGCAGCAAUGCGCUUGGGGAUGGGCUCGCGGCCUAUUAGUUAGUUGGUGAGGUAACGGCUCACAAAGGCGAUGACGGGUAGCCGGUCUGAGAGGAUGUCCGGCCACACUGGAACUGAGACACGGUCCAGACACCUACGGGUGGCAGCAGUCGAGAAUCAUUCACAAUGGGGGAAACCCUGAUGGUGUGACGCCGCGUGGGGGAAUGAAGGUCUUCGGAUUGUAAACCCCUGUCAUGUGGGAGCAAAUUAAAAAGAUAGUACCACAAGAGGAAGAGACGGCUAACUCUGUGCCAGCAGCCGCGGUAAUACAGAGGUCUCAAGCGUUGUUCGGAAUCACUGGGCGUAAAGCGUGCGUAGGCUGUUUCGUAAGUCGUGUGUGAAAGGCGCGGGCUCAACCCGCGGACGGCACAUGAUACUGCGAGACUAGAGUAAUGGAGGGGGAACCGGAAUUCUCGGUGUAGCAGUGAAAUGCGUAGAUAUCGAGAGGAACACUCGUGGCGAAGGCGGGUUCCUGGACAUUAACUGACGCUGAGGCACGAAGGCCAGGGGAGCGAAAGGGAUUAGAUACCCCUGUAGUCCUGGCAGUAAACGGUGCACGCUUGGUGUGCGGGGAAUCGACCCCCUGCGUGCCGGAGCUAACGCGUUAAGCGUGCCGCCUGGGGAGUACGGUCGCAAGAUUAAAACUCAAAGAAAUUGACGGGGACCCGCACAAGCGGUGGAGUAUGUGGCUUAAUUCGAUGCAACGCGAAGAACCUUACCUGGGCUUGACAUGUAAUGAACAACAUGUGAAAGCAUGCGACUCUUCGGAGGCGUUACACAGGUGCUGCAUGGCCGUCGUCAGCUCGUGUCGUGAGAUGUUUGGUUAAGUCCAGCAACGAGCGCAACCCCUGUUGCCAGUUACCAGCACGUGAAGGUGGGGACUCUGGCGAGACUGCCCAGAUCAACUGGGAGGAAGGUGGGGACGACGUCAGGUCAGUAUGGCCCUUAUGCCCAGGGCUGCACACGUACUACAAUGCCCAGUACAGAGGGGGCCGAAGCCGCGAGGCGGAGGAAAUCCUGAAAACUGGGCCCAGUUCGGACUGUAGGCUGCAACCCGCCUACACGAAGCCGGAAUCGCUAGUAAUGGCGCAUCAGCUACGGCGCCGUGAAUACGUUCCCGGGUCUUGUACACACCGCCCGUCACAUCAUGGAAGCCGGUCGCACCCGAAGUAUCUGAAGCCAACCGCAAGGAGGCAGGGUCCUAAGGUGAGACUGGUAACUGG
rnacentral:rRNA from 1 species